rnacentral:rRNA from 1 species
GGAUUAAGAGCUUGCUCUUAUGAAGUUAGCGGCGGACGGGUGAGUAACACGUGGGUAACCUGCCCAUAAGACUGGGAUAACUCCGGGAAACCGGGGCUAAUACCGGAUAACAUUUUGAACUGCAUGGUUCGAAAUUGAAAGGCGGCUUCGGCUGUCACUUAUGGAUGGACCCGCGUCGCAUUAGCUAGUUGGUGAGGUAACGGCUCACCAAGGCAACGAUGCGUAGCCGACCUGAGAGGGUGAUCGGCCACACUGGGACUGAGACACGGCCCAGACUCCUACGGGAGGCAGCAGUAGGGAAUCUUCCGCAAUGGACGAAAGUCUGACGGAGCAACGCCGCGUGAGUGAUGAAGGCUUUCGGGUCGUAAAACUCUGUUGUUAGGGAAGAACAAGUGCUAGUUGAAUAAGCUGGCACCUUGACGGUACCUAACCAGAAAGCCACGGCUAACUACGUGCCAGCAGCCGCGGUAAUACGUAGGUGGCAAGCGUUAUCCGGAAUUAUUGGGCGUAAAGCGCGCGCAGGUGGUUUCUUAAGUCUGAUGUGAAAGCCCACGGCUCAACCGUGGAGGGUCAUUGGAAACUGGGAGACUUGAGUGCAGAAGAGGAAAGUGGAAUUCCAUGUGUAGCGGUGAAAUGCGUAGAGAUAUGGAGGAACACCAGUGGCGAAGGCGACUUUCUGGUCUGUAACUGACACUGAGGCGCG